UGCAGCUCUCUGCUGCUCUGUGUGUCCCUGCCCCAAGGCAGAGGGUGGAACUGGAUGUUCUUUAAGGUCCAUCCAACCCAAACCACCC